AACGCUAGCUACAGGCUUAACACAUGCAAGUCGAGGGGCAGCAUGAUUGAAGCUUGCUUCAAUUGAUGGCGACCGGCGCACGGGUGAGUAACACGUAUCCAACCUGCCGAUGACUCGGGGAUAGCCUUUCGAAAGAAAGAUUAAUACCCGAUGGCAUAGUUCUUCCGCAUGGUGGAACUAUUAAAGAAUUUCGGUCAUCGAUGGGGAUGCGUUCCAUUAGGUUGUUGGCGGGGUAACGGCCCACCAAGCCUUCGAUGGAUAGGGGUUCUGAGAGGAAGGUCCCCCACAUUGGAACUGAGACACGGUCCAAACUCCUACGGGAGGCAGCAGUGAGGAAUAUUGGUCAAUGGACGAGAGUCUGAACCAGCCAAGUAGCGUGAAGGAUGACUGCCCUAUGGGUUGUAAACUUCUUUUAUACGGGAAUAAAGUGAGGCACGUGUGCCUUUUUGUAUGUACCGUAUGAAUAAGGAUCGGCUAACUCCGUGCCAGCAGCCGCGGUAAUACGGAGGAUUCGAGCGUUAUCCGGAUUUAUUGGGUUUAAAGGGAGCGUAGGCGGACGCUUAAGUCAGUUGUGAAAGUUUGCGGCUCAACCGUAAAAUUGCAGUUGAUACUGGGUGUCUUGAGUACAGUAGAGGCAGGCGGAAUUCGUGGUGUAGCGGUGAAAUGCUUAGAUAUCACGAAGAACUCCGAUUG
rnacentral:rRNA from 1 species